UCAAAAUCAAUUUGGAAACUAGAGUUGGCUAAUAUCAUUCAUGUUAUAUAUUGAGUUUGAAUUCUUCCUUUUAUUCUUAUUGACCAUUUUAAAACAUAUUGUUCUUCCUCCUUCGAUAUGCAUGCCAAGUGUUGGAUAGAUGUGUGUGAUUUUUGCUGCUUCAUUGUAGUAAAUAUGUUAUUUCUUUUACCUGGAAUCUGGAUAAAUGUUGUUAAUGUUUCCUCCUGUUUCGGGUGUCUCUUUUUCUUUAGGAUUUAUAUUUUUCCCGUUUGGUUACUCAGUUUGGCACAUGAAUAUUCUAAUUUAGCUGUUUUGCGUGGAUUUUGAAAUUACUGAGAUAUGUAAAUUAAAAAAUUUGUGGGUCGGCGUUGUCCUGUGCUUGGAUCAUUUUUUUGUUCUUCGAUUUCCUCUAGACAUGUACGAGGAAAUUCCGAAUCAUAGAAAAACAUGUUAGCCAUUAACAGAUAUGGGCUUAAAGAGACAACAAACAAUCUGUUUUGAAAAUAUCAUUGUAUUGCUCUAAGACCAUCCAUGAUGAUAGGAUCCACAUUGGCAUACUUCCACUAAAAUAGAUGGACUUCAAUGGAAAAUCAAGAAUAUGUUUAUGACGAAUGAAGUGUCCAAAUUCAAGCCCAAAAGGAAGAAGAUUGGGCCACAUGAAGCCCCAAAGUGAGCUCAAAAAAGUGGACAUUCAAAGUCAAAGUUUCCUAGUUUAAAAUUUCCUUAUUUGAAAGUUUCCUAGUUUAAAGUUUCCUACUUUAAAAGUUUUUUAGUUUAAACUUUCCUAGUUUAAAAGUUUCCUAGUUUAAAGUUUCCUAGUUAUUAUUUUCAUAAAAGUAGGAAUUGAAUCUCAUUCUAUUUGGAAUAGGGUUUCCCUAUAUAUAGGGGUAGGUUUUAUUAUUCUAAAAGGACAACAUGAUGAUUAAUAUUAUUUGAGAGGUUUCUCUUCUUUACAUCUUUGUGUGUGGUGACUAUAGAUUUAUCUUACAACCUUAUAAGAAUGAUUCUUUAAGAGGUAUCUGAUAUGGAUGUGGAUCUAGAAAACUUACAAGGUAUUAUGUGGAAAAUAUAUUGAUCAAGAGGAUACUAGAAGGUGAUAUAAGGAAAAUGAUUUGACAGAGAUAUUUCUAUAUACAAAUACAAGGGCUAUUCACGUGACAUAUGCAUAAAUUGUCAUUGUCGUCAAUGGAUCUCUCACGAAGAGUUGAGCACAUGUAAGUACAAUCCAUAGCCCUCUCAAGUAAUGUAUGAGGGCUUGGUACUCAGCGAGAUUAUUGAAGCAAGGUUUCGACAAGGAGGAGUGCUGCCGAUUUGGAAAACAAUGGUCUUCAAACACUCCUUUAUGUGAGCAGGUAUAUGAUAUUUUGUAAUGGGGCUAGAGCUUUAUGAUAUGUCAAAGUGACUAGAGAAAGGAAUUGUGCAUGGCAGAAGUGAGACUUUAUUUCCAGCAGUUUCGUCAGAGAAUUUGAAAGGAAGUUUACCUACUUGGUUGAACUUGAUCUUAGAAUCAUGUAUCAUGAUGCUUCUGAGUUAAAAAAAAAAAAUAGUGAGGGAUUUAAGUUUUACUAUAUUAGUCCUUAUCCAUUCACACAGAUUUUCAUGAGCUAUGCAGUGAUAUGUUUGCACGAUUUAAAGACGGGAGAGAACACCAUUUCACUCAAAAAAGGAAACACUUUGUGGAUCAAAGGUUAGGCAAUAUAUAGUUUCUUUAUAGAGAGAAGCAACAUCAUAGUAGUACUGUUGCACCAAGCUUAAUGAUCAAUUGACAAACUUCAUGUUAGUUUUACUAUAUAUUGACUUAAUUGUGGCCAAUAUGACUGACUUAAUGAUCAGCUGAUCUCAGCUAGUGACUCUUAUUAACAUUGCAGUAUUACACUAUGAAUUCAAAUCUUGGAACAAAUUCAGAGAAGAGGUCAUCAAAAGCUAAACUAGAAUUUGAUGCACGACCUUCUGAACAAUCUGUGUGCAAAUGAUGUUCCUUAUGACAAUGGACUCGGAUCAAAUGGACUUGUCCAACGUUUUGAACAACUUAUUUCAGCUGUGUUUGUACCGUAUUAUCACCCUCACCCUAUGUUGAAUGGUUGUUUUAUGCAGUUCUUUUUUAAAGUAGUUCAGCUCUCUUACCUGAGUUUAAGAUCUGAGGAUUAGAUGAGCCUUUUAUUUAGGCAUUGAUGGUGUGACUUUGUUUUAGCUAAUGUAAAAAUGUUUAUAUUACCUAUGAAGGCAUUCUCUUGUGUAAACUUAA